rnacentral:lncRNA from 1 species
AUGUGGGGGCGUUUUGGGGUGCAGACGGUGACCCCCGCCUCCCCCGAGAGGCCCCCGGGUCCGCCCCGCCGCCAGGGCGCUGCGCGGCUCGCAGCCCGCCAAGUCUUACUCAUCCCCUUUUGGAAGGAAACUUCCUUCUUUCUCGCCCCCUCCGCCACCUCCCUUUUUCUUAAAAAAAAAAAAAAAAAAAAAAAAAAAAAAAAAAAAAAAAAAAAAAAAAAAAAAAAAAAAAAAAAGAAAAGAAAAAAAAAAAAAAAAAAAAAAAAAAAAAAAAAAAGAAAAAAAAAAAAAAAGAAGAAGAAAGAAAAUAAAGAGAAAAGAGGGAAAGAAAAAAAAAAAAAAAGGGAAAAAGAAAGGGAGGGUGGGGGGAGCACACAAGGGCGGAGGAGGCUGAGCACACGCUUUUCCCAGCGCAAGAAGAGACCUGGUGGCAGGAAAGGUUCCCUCCUAGCACUGCCGUCGCCCCUGCUACACGAGCGCUUUGUGUAUUUAGGGUCCGUACAAAGCAGCUUCCUCCCUUCUCCCUCCGGACCCCGUCGCAAACCAAGGUGCAGUUCUACCUUCCCGGCCAUUCAAUCCAACUGGCACCAAAAAACUUCUGCCAGGGCUCCCACCCCAAAAUCUUUUUUUCCUAGUUUUCUUUGUUCUCCCCUGCGCACGGAGGGGCUUUUGCGGGUCCCCGAGCAUCCCUUCUCCUCUCCCCCCGCGCGUCGCUGAACUUACCCCAGGUUGUUUAAAUUCGCCAAUCACCGCUAUUCUCUCCCGCUCAAGGUUUGCGGUUCAACUCUUUGUCCCUCUCCAGGUACCGCCGGACAAACGAUCGUCUUAAAUUUAACAAAGCUAGGUGUUUGCCGGCACCCGCGUGAAAAGGAGGGGGAGAGAGAAAAAGCGUAUUGAAAAGAGUUAUAGUUACCUUAAAAGGUAGCGUAUUGCAGAGAUUGCAAAAAAAUCACGGCGUGGCGGCUCGGCUAGUCCAGAGAUCCCAGUGGCCGCAUGAACGAGUUAAAAAAAAAAAAAAAUCCCCUUGGUGGUGGUGGAGCUGGAAGGAGGUGGCCGGCUCCGGGGUGCCCCCUGCUCCCCGAACACCUGCCUCCGAGCUGCGCCGAGUUGCACGGAGCUCGCCUGCAAGUUCAAAUGCGAGGCUCAGCCACCCAUCAUUAUUAUAUCAUUGUACUGCCAGCGCUGCAGAGGAGGGGCGCUGGCUCGGCGAGAGGAGGGUUCUCAGCCUCAGCCAGAGCCUCCCUCGCAAUCGCAGCGCUCCCGCAGCUGCUGGGAGCGGGAGAGACCCCAAAGCCCUCCCGCAAGGGGCUCCGCGACCCCCCCCUACAAACCCGCACCGCCCUCCGCGGGGAGUCCCCCGGGCAGCCCUUGGGGGUCCCGGCCCCCCGAAGUCACCCUCCCCCUCCCCCGGGGACCCCCGGACGGGUCCCUGCGCUCGGCGGCUUCAGCCCCGCGGAGAGGGGCACGCGGGUGCGGGAGGUGCAUUGUUCCCCAAUUAAACAAUUAACCGGGAAGAGAAUGGGGAGACCUCCUCCUCUCUGGCUCCCGAAGCCGCUUGCAAUGGGGAAAGUGGCUGGGACCGAGAUCCCUUUUUUCCCCCCUCUUUGCCUCCCCGACCUCAGCGGAGGCUGCAAUGAAAGAAUAUGUUGGUGAUUGUUCCAAACUUCCCCCGCCGCUGCCAAUUCACAGGCAGCCUUGCAUCGGCAGCCUCCCAAGCCAAGCUUCUCCACCCUAGUUUUACGCAUCUCCAGCCACUUUUCUUUUCUUUCUUUCUUUCCUUCCCCCCCCCCCCCCCCCCUUUUUUUUUUUUUCUCCUUGAGAUUAGGCUCUGCAUUUGCUGUCCAAACCUCUUGCAGAUGAAGUCAUAAGCAGAGCUCCAAAUCACCCUGUAACAGGGGACUUUCACCAAUUAAUAAAGGGUCUGGGGUGUUUCUCGGGCA